rnacentral:rRNA from 1 species
ACACUCCUGCGGGAGGCAGCAGUGGGGAAUAUUGGACAAUGGGCGCAAGCCUGAUCCAGCCAUGCCGCGUGAGUGAUGAAGGCCCUAGGGUUGUAAAGCUCUUUCACCGGUGAAGAUAAUGACGGUAACCGGAGAAGAAGCCCCGGCUAACUUCGUGCCAGCAGCCGCGGUAAUACGAAGGGGGCUAGCGUUGUUCGGAUUUACUGGGCGUAAAGCGCACGUAGGCGGACUAUUAAGUCAGGGGUGAAAUCCCGGGGCUCAACCCCGGAACUGCCUUUGAUACUGGUAGUCUUGAGUUCGAGAGAGGUGAGUGGAAUGCCGAGUGUAGAGGUGAAAUUCGUAGAUAUUCGGAGGAACACCAGUGGCGAAGGCGGCUCACUGGCUCGAUACUGACGCUGAGGUGCGAAAGCGUGGGGAGCAAACAGGAUUAGAAACCCGAGUAGUCUCA